UGCCCCCGCUCACCGCCUCCCGUCUCCGGCCCCCAGCCCCGGCAUUGGCUCUCCUCCUCUCACGGAAAGGUCGCCGCCUGUGGCCCUGCGGGCAGCCAUGCCGAGAUGAACCCCAGUGGCCCCAGCUACCCCACGUCCUCGCUCUACGUGGGGGACCUCCAUCCCGACGUGACCCACGCGAUGCUCUAAAGUUCAGCCAGGCCUGGCCCAUCCUCUCCAUCCGGGUCUGCAGGGACAUGAUCACCCGCUGCUCCUUGGGCUACGCGUAUGUGAACUUCCAGCGGCCGGCGGACGCGGAGCAUGCUGUGAACACUAUGAAUUUUGAUGUUAUAAAGGGCAAGGCAGUAGGCAUCGUGUGGUCUCAGCGUGAUCCAUCACUUCACAGAAGUGGAGUGGGCUGCGUAUAUUAAAAAUCUGGACAAAUCCAUUGAUAAUAAGCACUGUAUGAUACAUUUUCUCCUUUUGGUAACAUCCUUUCAUGUAAGGUGGUCUGUGAUGAGAAUGAUUCCAAGGACUAUGGAUUUGUACACUUUGAGACACAGGAAGCAGCUGGAAGAGCUAUGGAAAAAAUGAAUAGAAUGCUCCUAAAUGAUCGCAAGGUACUUGUUGCACGAUUUACGUCUCGUAAAGAACGAGAAACUGAACUUGGAGCUAGGGCAAAAGAGUUCACCAAUGUUUACGUUAAGGAUUUUGGAGAAGACAUGGAUGAUGAGCGCCUUAAGGAUCUCUUUGGCAAGUUUCGGCCUACCUUAAAUGUGAAAGUAAUGACUGAUGAAAGUGGAAAAUCCAAAGGAUUUGGAUUUGUAAGCUUUGAAAGGCUUGAAGAUGCACAGAAAGCUGUGGAUGAAAUGAAUGGAAGGGAGCUCAGUGGAAAAGAAAUUUAUGUUGGUAGAGCUCAGAAAAAAGUGAAACGGCAGACAGAACUUAAGCGCAAGUUUGAACAGAUGAAGCAAGAUAGGAUCACCAGAUUCCACGGUGUUAAUCUUUAUGUGAAAAAUCUUGAUGAUGGCAUUGAUGAUGAACGUCUCCGGAAAGAGUUUUCUCCAUUUGGUACAAUCACUAGUGCAAAGGUUAUGAUGGAGGGUGAUCGCAGCAAAAGGUUUGGUUUUGUAUGUUUCUCCUCACCAGAAGAAGCUACUAAAGCAGUUACAGAAAUGAAUGGUAGAAUUGUGGCCACAAAGCCAUUGUAUGUAGCUUUAGCUCAGCGCAAAGAAGAGUGCCAGGCUCACCUCACUAACCAGUAUAUGCAGAGAAUGGCAAGUGUAUGAGCUAUGCCCAACCCUGUAAUCAACCCCUACCAGCCAGCACCUCCUUCAGGUUACUUCAUGGCAGCUCUCCCACAGACUCAGAACGGUGCUGCAUACCAUCCUUCUAGCCAAAUUGCUCAACGAAGACCAAGUCCUCGCUGGAUUGCCUAGGGGGCCAGACCUCAUCCAUUCCAAAAUAUGCCCAGUGCUAUCCGCCCAGCUGCUCCUAGACCACCAUUUGGUACUAUAAGACCAGCUUCUUCACAGGUUCCACGAGUCAUGUCAACACAGCGUGUUGCUAACACAUCAACACAGACAAUGGGUCCAUGUCCUGCAGCUGCUGCUGUGCAACUCCACAUUAUAACUAUGCUGCAGGAAAGAUUUCGCU